rnacentral:rRNA from 1 species
AUACGGAGGAUGCGAGCGUUAUCCGGAUUUAUUGGGUUUAAAGGGUGCGUAGGCGGUUUGCUAAGCGGGAGGUGGAAUGCCGGCGCUCAACGUCGGAAGUGCCUCCCGAACUGGGGGACUGGAAUGACUCUGCCGUGGGAGGAAUGGGUAGUGUAGCGGUGAAAUGCUUAGAGAUUACACAGAACACCGAUUGCGAAGGCAUCUCACGAAGGGUUGAUUGACGCUGAGGCACGAAAGCGUGGGGAUCAAACAGGAUUAGAUACCCUGGUAGUCCACGCAGUAAACGAUGAUGGCUAACCGCUGGUUUAUUCGGAUCAGUGGCCAAGCGAAAGCGAUAAGCCAUCCACCUGGGGAGUACGACCGCAAGGUUGAAACUCAAAUGAAUUGACGGGG